AUGCUAUGCAAAAGGAGGAAAAGUUAGCCCUCUCCUUCCUAAGGCUAGGAGAUGACUUCCUGGCCUACAAAAUACACACACGGCUAAGGCAUUGCCAUGUUCUUCAUGAUGUCUCUGCCACCGUUCCUU
rnacentral:ncRNA from 1 species